UACGGAGGGGGCAAGCGUUGUUCGGAUUUACUGGGCGUAAAGGGUGCGUAGGUGGUUGUGUAAGUCUGGUGUGAAAGCCUCACCGCUCAACGGGAGGAUGUCACUGGAAACUGCAUAACUUGAGUAUGGUAGAGGCAAGCGGAAUUCCUGGUGUAGCGGUGGAAUGUGUAGAUAUCAGGAAGAACACCGGUGGCGAAGGCGGCUUGCUGGGCCAUUACUGACACUGAGGCACGAAAGCGUGGGGAGCGAACGGG
rnacentral:rRNA from 1 species